rnacentral:rRNA from 1 species
GACGAGUGGCCCAAGCGUUAAUCGGAAUCACUGGGCUUAGAGGGUGCGCAGGCGGAUCGGCAGGCGUCUUGUGAAAUCCCCCGGCUCAACCGGGGAAUUGCGGGGCGAACCGCCGAUCUUGAGGAAGGCAGAGGCCGACGGAACGAUAGGUGGAGCGGUGGAAUGCGUAGAGAUCUAUCGGAACGCCAAAGGCGAAGGCAGUCGGCUGGGCCUUUCCUGACGCUCAGGCACGAAAGCGUGGGGAGCAAACAGG